AACAAGGAUAAGCUCAGCAUGGAAAUCGGGGUCCUGGGCCCUGAAUUGUAGGCUGGAGAGGUAUUACCAGCGGAGGCGCAGAUGUAAGCCUUUUGGAAAAGAGCAUCAACGAGGGUGAGAGUCCCGCUUGUCAUCUGCAGUCCCCCGCGUACGGUCUGCCUUCCAAGAGUCACGUUCCUCGAGAUUGGAGCGCAAACUGGGUGGUAAAUUUCAUCUAAAGCUAAACAUUGGUUCGAGACCGAUAGCAAACAAGUACCAUGAGGGAAAGGUGAAAAGGACUUUGAAAAGAGAGUUAAAAGUGCCUGAAAUUGCUGAAAGGGUGCGGCCCACAUUUGGGGAAAACUCUGGGGACAUGGUAGCCUGCCCUUGGGUGGGUGAACGUGCUCAGUUGUACCCACUUGGGUGCCGAUUGAUGACUAAAUGGUUCCUUUCG
rnacentral:rRNA from 1 species